UCCCCUUCGUCUAGAGG
rnacentral:tRNA from 1 species